GGGCCGAGGCGGCGCGGGAUGGAGCCGGCCGGGGCCCCGCCGCCGAGCUGCGCCCCGGCCCGGGAGGCGGAGGAACCCCCGGGGUCCCCGGCGCUCCCCGCCGAGCGACCGCAGGACGGCGAGCCCGCCGGGAAGGCGAGGGAGGAGGCGGCGGCGGAACGGAGCCGCGGUCACGGCCCAGUCGGGCGGGCAGCGCGGGGCAGGGGACGGCGCGGGCCGGAGGAGCGGGGGGCCCGGGCAGGCAGGCGGCCCCGCGUCACCGUGGACAGUUCCAAGGCCAAGACGUCGCUGGAGGCCCUGAAGAUCAGCCUGCGGCAGCUGCGCUGGAGGGAGUUCCCUUUUGGCAGACGCUUGCCGUGCGAUAUCUAUUGGCAUGGAGUAUCCUUUCAUGAUAAUUACAUAUUCUCAGGUCAAGUCAACAAGUUUCCAGGCAUGACGGAGAUGGUGCGUAAAGUUACGCUGAGCCGGGCAGUGAGAACGAUGCAAGAUCUGUUUCCUACAGAAUAUAACUUCUAUCCUCGAUCCUGGAUUCUGCCCGAGGAAUUUCCCCUCUUUGUGACUGAGGUUCGUGUGAUGAAAGAGAGCGAUCCGUCCUGGAAGCCCACUUUCAUUGUGAAACCUGAUGGCGGGUGCCAGGGGGAUGGAAUCUACCUCAUUAAAGACCCCAGUGAUGUCAGGCUGGCUGGCAGCCUGCAGAGCCGCCCGGCGGUGGUCCAGGAGUACAUCUGCAAACCACUGCUUGUUGACAAGCUGAAGUUUGAUAUUCGUCUUUAUGUCUUACUGAAAUCCUUAGAACCUUUAGAGAUUUAUAUAGCCAAAGAUGGACUUUCUAGAUUUUGUACAGAGCCGUAUCAAGAGCCCACUCUAAAAAAUUUGCACCAGGUUUUUAUGCACUUAACUAACUACUCACUAAAUAUCCAUAGUGGGAAUUUCAUCCAUUCUGACAACGCAAACACUGGCAGCAAGAGGACUUUCUCAAGCAUUCUAUGCAGACUGUCUUCCAGAGGAGCUGAUGUCAAAAAGGUUUGGUCAGAUAUAAUUUCACUGGUGAUUAAAACAAUUAUUGCACUGACACCAGAACUGAAAGUUUACUAUCAGUCUGACAUACCAGCAGGAAAGCCUGGGCCAACUUGCUUCCAGAUUUUAGGGUUUGACAUUCUCCUGAUGAAAAACUUGAAGCCCAUGUUGCUAGAAGUAAACGCAAACCCCAGCAUGAGAAUAGAGCACGAGCAAGAGCUCUCCCCUGGGGUGUUUGAAAAUGUCCCAAGUCCUGUUGAUGAAGAAGUGAAAGUAGCUGUUAUCAGAGAUACUCUUCGUCUGGUGGACCCUCAGAAAAAAAAGAGAAAAGAUACCCAAUCUCAGACUUCAGAGCAUGUGUCAGAAACAAGAGAGGAUCUACUGGAUGCAGGACCAGCAGGUGGACUGGAAUACGAUACCAGCAAAAAUGCAGAGGCUGGCCUACCCUCCCUUUGUCUCAAGCAAGUGUUUCCGAAGUAUGCUAAGCAGUUUAAUUAUCUGCGGCUUGUGGACAGGGUGGCUGCACUGUUCAUCCGAUUUCUUGGUGUGAAAGGGACAACAAAAUUGGGGCCAACAGGUUUCCGGACAUUUAUAAGAAACUGCAAACUCAGUAACAGCAAUUUUUCAAUGGCUUCUGUAGAUAUCUUAUACAUUGAUAUCACAAGAAGGUGGAACAGUAUGGGAAUUGAUCACAAAGAAUCAGGAAUGUGUUUGCAAGCCUUUGUUGAAGCUUUCUUCUUCUUGGCUCAGAAAAAAUACAAGUCACUCCCCCUUCAUGAGCAGGUGGCAUCGCUGAUUGACUUCUGCGAGUAUCACCUGGCUGCCCUGGAUGAGAAGCGCCCGCUUUGUGGCCGAGGGAUCGUGGAGCGCCGGAGUGCGGUGGUUCCUUGUCCGACCGAUGGACUUGAGGUCACACCAGCCGUGCAUGCACCCCUCCUAAAUCGCAUGGCCGCAGCUGGUAAAUUUGCAGGUUGUAGAAGUCAUCGCUAUCCUGGUGCUGUCUCACCAGGAGCAGGGAGAGACUGAGAGAGCUGAGAAUUAAUAACCAGGUAUGUACAAACUGCAGGAGGUGGAACAGACUCUUGAAUUCCUUCUUCCGAUGGUCGCAAUUGUUUGUUACAGCUGUUUUUUAUUUAUGCUCUCCAAGAAGUCGACUGCAAGGUCCCGUUCUCAAAUAACGAUCCUUCUUCACAAUGGCCACUUUUUUUUUUUACCUCUCUACUGAGCCUACAGUGCAUCUCACAUGACAAACUGUGCUUUUAUUCUGAAUGUGAAGACAAGGAACAAAAGCGUAGUGGGAAGAUGAUCGGCAUCAUGGGAUUGGGUGCAGUGCCUGAGAGGCACACUCAUGUCAAAGGAAUUGCAUGCUUUGUGUGCACUAAAUGUAUCAUGGAUACCAAUUAAGGAGCUGCAGUCGCAAAUUCCAGUUGUGUGCUCUUGAAAACAAAAACCUGGAAUUACAUUUUUGGUCAGACUUCAGGCUUUGACCCUAUUAUUUCAGUUGCUUGGACUGUACUUGCUGGUAUCAGUACAGAUUUGCUUGUUGCCUAUAGCUAUGCACUUACUUUUUAAAGUCAAUCUUAAACCACUGAAUUCAUAUUUUGGCUUCUACUACUUUGCCAUGAAAAGCACUGUUAAUUUUUUAAAGAAUAAUGAGAGAUGUUUAUCGUUUAUCCUUUUGCUUGCACAGAAACAAUAAGAUCACAGUGAUUCACAGGAAAAAAAACCAACCAACCAACCUACAUUCAGUAAAACUUGUUGAAUUAGGUGGUGUUUUUGCCUUCAGGUAGUAAGCACUAUGCUGCAAAGAGCCUUACAGCAUAAAGGAGUAAGAAGUCAUCCAGGUCCAGAAGUCAUCCAGAAGGCCAGUCCGGUCACUUUAGGCUAAACUAACUGUAUUCUAGGUUUACUUAUUUUCGUACUUUUUUGGUGUUUGUUAUCCUAUUUGGACCUCCGUUAACAUCUAGAGCAAACUUUUUUGGUCUUUGCACAUAAUCUUCAUUCUUCCCUUAUCUACAACUCUCUGCAACUUAGAUCUAUAUUAUUUAACAGGAUAUUUUGUCAAGAAUGCUGGACUCCACUGGAGCUCUUUUGGAGGAGUUCUACAGAAUAGUCUUAUUUUUCAAGCAAUGAACUGUGAGUUGCACAAUCACACUCUUUUUGGGGGGGCUAAGCAGAGACAUGAGACUGGUUGAAAAGGACACGGGUAACUUGGUACAUCAGUGCUGUUCAGUCAGCACUUUUUCUGGUCUUGUAUUUUAUUAUGAUAAUGUGUAAUUUGAUUUUCCUCCAUUGUUUUAUUAUUUAAUGUUAAUAAUCUACUCAUGUUCUAGUGUUUGUCGUACUGUCAAAAAUGACAACGUUGUAAGAAGGUAUGAUGUCUGGGCAGUUAGGUUUGGGUUGAGAAAAUGACCUGAUCUUGAUGUCUGAAUCUACCAGUGGCUGACGUACAAGAAAUGUUGUCUGCCAUACAGGAAGCGUGUUAUCAACGCGGAGAAAGUCCUCACACUUGAUGUCACGAACUAAAUGCACGCACAACAUUGAGUGACCUUUUACUCUAGGAAAUGUUUAGGAUUUACUUUCCUGAUUCUUAGUUUUAAACAGCAUGCCGUUUUCCCAAGUGGCAAUGAGGAGCAUGGCAAUACAAUGCAGAAGUCAAGCUCAGCCUGCAAGAGCCUAAUACCUAGCAUGUGUUAAUAACAAAUGUGGGAGUAGCUGCUUCUCUUUUCCUUCUUUUUCUGUAACACAGGUAAGAGUAGUAGUAGACAAUCAGUUUUUGUUCAGUGGCUAGACUGUUUGUAAUUUUGUGUGGUACAUAGGAGGGCGAUUGUAGAUUAAUGCCACUGCCCUCUGCCUCGUUUAAGUUUCACAAGGAUUAUUGCAGUAUGAAGAUAAAAUGCCAAACUCCGAGGUCUGGCAGCUGUCAGAACAAACGAAGCUGAAAGGGUCAUUUUUUUUUUCAGUUUCAUUGUAAUAUAUUUGAAGACAUUCACAAGCUGAAAAAUGGUUACUUCUCAUUUUGUGACAUCUGACAUUUGUCUUGCGAUUGGCAGUGUGUUACUAGAAAAUAGCUUACAGUUUCCCUCAUCUUGUGAUUGAUGUCCUGUAAAGAGAGUUAUAGAAGAGUAGGAUUUGAAACAGUACAGAUGUGAAUACUUUUCUUUGGAGCUUUCAAGUAGUGCAAUCUAUGCCCUCUAUAAUCUACAAUCUAUACCCUCUUUUUGGCUACUAUGGAAGUUACCCUGAUAUCAGUGGAUUAAAUUAACUAUUGUAUAUAAAGAACAUCGGAGAUCUUUCUAUUCUCUGGAUCUCAUAGAGAUUUUCAUAACCUGUGCAUACACAGGCUGAUGCAGUAUACUCUGUUUCCCAUUUCAAAUAUGAAGGGCCCUUGUAGAGUUGAUAAAAUAUUCAAUUAUCUGCCUCUAGUAACCCAGUGUUCAUAUAUUUAUCUAAUUGGAAAAUUGAAUGCCAUACUAUUCCUGGGGGGGGAGUGGAAUAAAAUAGGAGUGUACUUCAGAGACAUCACAACAAAGUCACAUUUCUCUUCCCUCCCAUCUAAUGCAAUUUCCUUGCAAUAUUAUUUAGCAUCCAAAGCAAUUUCACGUAGCCCUUAAGUUAGCGGUCUGUGCAAACACAAGAAAAUGACCAGAGAUACUGAAUUCAGAAUAUGAAUGCUAAUGCACUGAUAAUCUGUUAAUCCUGAGAUAGCUUUCUAGCAGAAAAACAAUAUAUGAAAGGUAGGCAAGCAUUUUUUAAUAUAAUCUUUUCAGAGAAUAAUAUAGCAUUCAGUAUUCCAUUUAUGAGCAUAUAUAAACAUUGCGUACCAGUGAAAUCUUUCUUGUUAUCAGACACGUUGGGUCUGGUAUUCUUCACUGGGCAUAAAUCUAAAUAAAACACCUGAACAUCUAAAGCAGAUUUGAGGCAAAUGUGUACAGAACUUCAGUCUAGUCAUCUCCCCUCCCUGCAAGCUUGUCUCUAGCCUGAGUGUGCCUAAAUUUGUUGAGUGACUCCUUGUUUGACUUCAAGCUAUGUGAGCUGUUACUCUGCAUAGAGCUCUUGUCGUCUGAGUUGGUUGAAAUUUGUCUUCUGGCUCUAACUAGAUUUGGCACUUGAAACUGAAUUGCCCUCUCUGCCCAGAUUGCUUUACUUGCCAUGCACUCCUAGCAACUUUCUUUCAAAACAGGUUUUGAAAUGGAGGUACUGAGCUAAUUAGACGCUUAAUACUUGCUCAGGUGUGAGACCCAAGUCCACCUGCUUCAGAGUUUCUUUUCAGCCGUGGCUCUCCUCCCCCUGCAUUAACCUUGUGUUCUGCCCAUCAUCAGGUGAUCAGAGCCCUCUUCCAAGACAUGGAGGAUGCAGUGUGGAAACCUGUGUGAUGAGGAGGGAUUUCAGCUCUCCCUCCUCUGAUCUGAACUUUGCCUAGUUCAUUGAAAACAGGAAACAAUAAAAAUCUCUGCACAGAGCAUGACAUCCCCAUAACGAACCCUUUGUCAAGCACGAAGCUGGCCGCAGCGCAGCCUGGCACUCCCUCUCCUCCACAGUGGGCACCAGCAGCAAAUCCAGACCCUGCACCUCACUCACAGCUUGGGGACAGCAAGCUCAGGUAACCUUCUGUUUGUUCUGUGGUUAUGCGUGUGGCAGGGAACACAGUGCCCUGGAACUAUUGCUUUACAAAGACUUGUCCCCAGCGUUUGUGAGAGCAGAAGCUGGGAGAGGAACCAAGGAGCCAUUCUGCAGGGCCCAGUUCCUCCCUCCACUCACGCAGGAGCCUGGGGCCUGCCCUGCUCAUAGGGGCUGCCCAGGGCCCCCAGCCCCAACAGCUCCCACACGGUCACCACAUUGCACUGAGUGAGCCCUGACCAUCCUGCUGGGCUCUGCCCCUUUAUGGGCAGAUUUAGUUAAACACUAAUUUGCUGUGCAAAUGCCCUCUGGACAGCUCCCCACUGUAAAAGUCAGGGGCGGCACAAAAGCUACAUAAGGAAGGCCAAAGGCUCAGGGAUGGCUCUGGGGAUGGGGCUGUGCUCCAGGGGGAGUCACAGGAGGAGCGGGCCAGGCUCCUGCCAGCCCUCGUCCAGCACGUGCUGACUGUACUGAAGGUGCUGCCCACCGCAGGCUCUGCCCAGCUCCCUGCAUUUCGCUUACUGCAGUGGCAAGGACAUUACUCCUUGUUGGGAGGGGGGAGGUGUAUCCUCUGGGCAGCUUGGAAGGAAAAGGUUACUUCUGUUUAAACAUUAAACACUGAUUUAAAUCCAACAGUGACAGCGAUUCUCAAAUAUAUCUUAUUUCCUUAUGCCACUCAUCUCACACUUGAUCUUUCCAUCCCCUCAAUGUGCUGGCAUUAGCAUCUCCCACAAAGGCUCAGUCAAGCGCGCCGUCCGCAGUAAGGAGCUGGGUUCUCUGGGGAGAGAGCAGCCGUUCUCUGAAGCCGCGGCUCACACCUGCUGCUGCACGGUCUCUCUGGCCAGGCCUCCUCCUGCGGCAGCGCCCUCCGCGGGUUAACAAUUACUGCUGUUUCUGAAUUCUCCAUUCUCUGUAAUCUGCAAUUUAGUUGGGUUUGUGGGGGAGAUCCCAUUACGUGUCUGCAUGCUGUACCUCUCUUUCAGCUGAGUAAGGGCACUCAUUAACCGUGCGUUGGCAGCAUCCAAUGAAGCAAUGCGUUUCUCCUGCAAAGAAACAGGCCGAGGGAGCUGUCAGUGGAAAUGCACGGAGACCUGUCUCUGUGAUGCCACGGGUUGUUCUGAGCUAGCAACCCACAGGCCUCUGGGACCAGGACCCUUUGGCAGUCUGCUGCUGAUAGCAGGUCCACAAACGGCUUUGCCUGGGUUUUCCCCUGCUGCUGCCAGGUGAGCAGACGUCUCUGCAAGCUGCGUGCUCCAGGCUGGCCUGACAGCAGCCACGUCCCAGCCAGAAGCCUCUGAGCCAGGCUGGGCUGAUGCUGGGGCAGGGUGCUCUGCAACCUCCCAGCAGUUCCGUGUUGGACUGCAUGGCUGUGGCUGUAGCCUAGAUUAGAACUGUGCUGGGCUGAGCUGCACCAGGCUUGUGCAAAGCCUGCGUUUCCUUCAGGGAGGCUAGAGUGAAAGCCUCUGAAAUUCUGGGUUGGGACAUAAAUUUAGGAUUACUUCUAUGAGGAAUAAACAGUCUCUCUACAGGUAGCUCCAGAAGCAUCUGCAGGGGAACACCCGGAGUUCUGCAGGGCUGCAGGGAUGGUGGGCAGCAGUUCUGCAGCCCUGACCCCAUUCACAGAGCAGCUCUGGCUACAGGAGAUCCCUGUCAGAGCUUCUCCCCUGCUCCCAAGGGUUACUGCCUGCCUCACAGAAGCUUUGGUGCAUCAGGCUUUUAAACAAGCAGAAUCUGUGCUGAAUUAAUUUUAUCAUACCAUGUUCUGAACAAAAUGGAGAUAAAGUUGUUUUUCUUAUUUUUCAAUGAUACAGAAAUUAAUUGUGUUGUUUGCUCUAACUGCAGCUGUUAUGAAGACGAUAAGAUUCCUGUUCUAAACGUAGUUCUCUCCCAAGGUGGUUAUUCCUGUCAGUGUUUAAUUGAUUUUGUUAGUGUAAAUAAAUGCCUUAAAUGAC